CGAGACAGCGCCUCGCAAAUCCGAUCGCGCCUCCUACCUUGUCGGCGCCGGCGAGCGAGCGGCGGCGGUAGCCGGCGCGAGGGAGCCGGUGACGGAGUCCGGCGAAAUCCCCUGAGGAAAAUACCUCCCUACCCGGCGACCAACCGCCCCACCUCCUCCAAUCCCGACGGCUCCCCACCUCUUCCAAUCCCGGCGACCAACCGCCCCACCUCCUCCCUCCCUGGCGGCUCCCCGCGUCCUCCUCCAGCCCGCGUCGCCCCUCCUCCUCCCGCCCAGGCGCCGCCCACCUCCUCCCACCCGACGGCGCCCCCUUCUCCCUCCCUGACGGCGCCUCACCUCCACCAAUCCCGGCGGCGCCCACCUCCUCCAAUCCCGGCGGUGCCCACCUCCUCCCACCCAGGCGGCGUCACCCUCCUCCAGCCCGCUGUCGCCCGCGGUCCCCUCCUCCAGCGCGCAUCGCCCGCGGCCCCCUCCUCCAGCGCGCGUCGCCCGCGGCCCCUCCUCCUCCGCGCGUCACCGGCGGCCCCCUCCUCCUCCGCGACUCGCGGGCGGCCUUCUCCUCCAGCGCGCAUCACCAGCGGCCCCUCCUCAUGCACGCGUCGCCGGCGCCCGCCAAAUCCUUCGGUAAGGCCUCAUCUCCAACUCCCGUUGUUGAUGCCGAGCACACACGAGGGCGAUUUUAGGCCGCGAUGGCAUGGAGCCUGUCUGAAUUCCCCUAGCGCUGCACUGGACUCUCCCCUGGCUACCUCUGAACUCACCAGGAAUGCACACUCUGCCCAGGCCGGCUCUGAAGUUCACCUAGCGCUGCACUUAGUAGUCAGGUACUGUUAGUUUUUUCUUACCCUUAGUCCUUUAGCUAAUACAAAGUUUGUAUGUAUUUUUCUGGUUAGAAAAGAAAUUUGAUCCUUUUUCAAUGAUAUCUGAACUUCAAAAAACAGCUCAGUUAGUUGUCAUGGUUGUGAUGGCCAGCUCCAGUAGUUCACUCUUAAAAGCUGCAGCUGUUACCUUUUAUGAAAAUAAUGGUUCUCUCCUAGAUGUAUGUGGAGCUAAAUAGAAAAGCAUGGUGGUUGCGAAGUUCAGUUAUUUCUUUUGAAAAGUUCAUUUCGUCCAACGUUGGGGUUGUGUUUUUUGUCUAUAAAAAAGUUCAAUCCGUUCCUGGAAAAUUCACAUUUUAAUUUCACAAAAGUUCAUUUGCUAAUAAACAAGGAAUUCACUCAGUGAACUACUGAAGUUCACUCCAUACUAAUCUAUGAAAAUAAACUGAAAAUUCACCUUGUAGAUUAAAAAAGGGAAGUUCACUGAUUAAAGCUCAACAGUUCAUCUAUUAAGUGGAAGUUCACCUUAAACCGUGCGGACAUCAGUUUAAACGCGUUGGAAGUUCUGCUUUGCUAGUGCCGUCGAGAUUGUGAUAUACUACGAAGUUCGGAUAAUGAAAAGGUGAAGGUUCAACUUACAUUUUCUUGCAGUUCAGUUCUGCGAGCCUACAAACUUUGCACCUGAUACUGCAAAGCAUCAUAGCUUUCGUCUUAUGUAUGGAACUUUCCACCUGAUAAUGCUCUGGUAAAAACUUACCUAAAAACAGUGUCAUAUCUUGUGUUGAAAAGUUCACCUUUUUAUCGGGUAAAGUUCACUUGAUGCUAUUAAAUGCUGCCUCUAAACUGCUACUGAAGAUCCAACUGAACUACGUGCUAGUCCUCCUUUUUAUUCCUUUAUUAUUGCUUCCUUCCAACGUACUAAAAUGUUGUGUUAAAAUGACAUGAUGGGUAACAUAUAUUAUCAAUGCUAUGAGAAAAUCUGUAAUUUUGAUAUCUGCAAUUUGGGAUCUUGCGUACAUGGAUGAUGCAUACAUGGCUAGCUCCAGUACUUCACUCUUAAAAGCUCCAGUAGUUACUUUUUAUGAAAAUAAUGUUUCUGUCCUGGAUGUAUGUGUUGAUGUGUGGUUGCUAAAAAAGAAAAGAAUUCGCUUUGUCAUGGAUCAAGGUUCACGUCUAUAUUUUCUGGAAAGUUAGCUUCGUCUUGGCGAUGCUUUUAGUUAAAUACAAAAUUAUAGUUAUAAGAACAGAGGGAGUACUGUAAAAAAUAGUUUUGCAAUGCAUCUGAACUGAGUUCACCUAUCUUUCUCUGUGAGUUCACGUUGUCGUUGUUUGACUAUGUAAAUGAUCAGAUUCUUGUUACCAGGAGUUUUUCCCUGUUCUAAAUCUGCACCAACUGUUUGUUCAGCUGGAUUAUCUAACUAGCUAGCCCUCGGCUCUGACUGGAAGGAUCAAAAAUAGAGGAUAUGUCUGUUGUAACCUUUGAAGGCUUGGGGAUAUGCGUGAGCAAGGAUGGCACCACACCAGUAUGUCAGAUCGAUAUGUUCUUUUGUAACUAUAACAAGCCUGACCUUGGCUAUCCAAUGGAGUCUAAGUGCCUUGAUCUGGAUGCACCUGGUGUGUGCACUUUUUUGUCCUUUGCUAUGCACAAAAGCUCAUGGCCGGGAGAGCUGCAGUAUACGGGCGGGCAGUCGAGUCCUCAGCUAAAGACAGUGCCGCGAUGUGAAGCAGCUCACAAAUGAAGAAAUGUGAAGUUCAGAUAUAGAAACAAAGCUGCAGCCGUUGCUCCUGGUACUUGGUCUCGCCAACGACCUCACAACCAGACCCGCGUUCAGUUUGGUCUUCUCUUUAGGGCAAAGAAGGGAAAGGGAGUUCACGUACCUGUAAAAAACGAGAGGGGAAAAUGCCACUGGUACACUUGUUUAUUUUAGGCAGUUGGUGCACUUGAUCUGGAGUUCACUCGGUGAUCUCACUUAAAAGCACUAGCAGUCCGAUGUAGUUCACAUCGCUCUCUGCCGCGAGCACUUGCAGCUCCAUCUUCAGCUCACUAAGUCGACCCAGGAAGUCCAAUCAGCAUCGUCCCGAGAUUCCACAACUUCAACUAAGGCAGCUGAGCGUCUCACAUGCCCAGUUUCGUGUGUGAUGGUGAUAGUUUACGAUAAGAAAGGUGUCCAUUGUCCUGCGAGCUCACUGUUGCUGCAUCAAUGUAGCGUAGUACAAGCUCGAACAAGUCCAAUCCGCCCUGCCUUCGGCGCUCAGGACUUCACCUUUUACAACACAUUUGUGCCUUGUGGGAGCAUGCGUUGCCCUCGGUGUGCCGGAGCUGUGAAGUUCGGGAGGGCAGAUUUUUAUAAGUCCACUUUUAUAAGAAGUUUGUCGAAACUUUUCUCUAGAAGCUAAAUUUUGUGUGCGCUGAAAAUUCAUUUUGUUCUGAAUGGCACGGUGCAAGUUUGAACUCCAAUUUCAUUUGAUUGGAAGUUCCAAUCAUACAAGUGGGAAGACUACUUUUUUGUCGGUUCACAAUUUUGAUUUCCCGCAGUACACGAUCAUACAAUAAUUUUUGUGGUAGGCUUGUUUAUUUUGGAUAGCUCAUCCGUUUGGACAUAGUGCACUUGU